rnacentral:rRNA from 1 species
UACGAAGGGUGCAAGCGUUGCUCGGAAUUACUGGGCGUAAAGAGUGCGUAGGUGGCGAGUUAAGUCUGACGUGAAAGCCCCGGGCUCAACCUGGGAAUGGCGAUGGAUACUGGCACGCUAGAGUGCGGUAGAGGAGAGUGGAAUUCCCGGUGUAGCAGUGAAAUGCGUAGAGAUCGGGAGGAACACCAACGGCGAAAGCACUCUGCUGGGCCGACACUGACGCUGAGAGACGAAAGCUAGGGGAGCGAAUGGG